CCUACGUGAUGCAGCAGUGAGGAAUAUUGGUCAAUGGACGGAAGUCUGAACCAGCCAUGUCGCGUGAAGGAAGACUGCCCUAUGGGUUGUAAACUGCUUUUGUAUAAGAAUAAACCUGAAUAUGCGUACUCACCUGUAUGUACCAUAUGAAUAAGGAUCGGCUAACUCCGUGCCAGCAGCCGCGGUAAUACGGAGGAUCCGAGCGUUAUCCGGAUUUAUUGGGUUUAAAGGGAGCGUAGGUGGAUUGUUAAGUCAGAGGUGAAAGGUUGCGGCUUAACCGUGAAAUUGCAUUUGAUACUGGUAGUCUAGAGAGCAGUAGAGGUGGGCGGAAUGCGUGGUGUAGCGGUGAAAUGCUUAGAGAUCACGAAGAACUCCGAUUGCGAAGGCAGCUUACUAGUCUGCAUCUGACACUGAGGCUCGAAAGUGUGGGUAUCAAACAGGAUUAGAUACCCGGGUAGUC
rnacentral:rRNA from 1 species